GAUGAACGCUGGCGGCGUGCUUAACACAUGCAAGUCGAACGGAAAGGCCCUGCUUUUGUGGGGUGCUCGAGUGGCGAACGGGUGAGUAACAGGUGAGUAACCUGCCCUUGACUUUGGGAUAACUUCAGGAAACUGGGGCUAAUACCGGAUAGGAGAUCCUGCUGCAUGGUGGGGGUUGGAAAGUUUCGGCGGUUGUGGAUGGACUCGCGGCUUAUCAGCUUGUUGGUGGGGUAGUGGCUUACCAAGGCUGUGACGGGUAGCCGGCCUGAGAGGGUGACCGGCCUCAUUGCGACUGCGGGACGGCGCAGUGGCCAACGUUGGGCAGUAGGCGGGAGUCUUACCCAAUGAGCGCGAGUCGGAUGCAACAGCGUCGCGGUUGUGAUGCCGUCCUUCGGGUUGAAAACCGCUGUCGCCUGUUACGAAGCUGUAGUGACGGUACCGAAUGAAGAAGCACCGGCUAACUACGUG
rnacentral:rRNA from 1 species